UGGCUGAAGGGAUCGGUCUUGAAAACCGACAGGCGGGUUACACCGCGCGGGGGUUCGAAUCCCUCUUCCUCCG
rnacentral:tRNA from 1 species